CGGAGGAUGCGAGCGUUAUCCGGAUUUAUUGGGUUUAAAGGGUGCGUAGGUGGCUUGUUAAGUCAGCGGUGAAAGGUUCGAGCUCAACUUGGACAUUGCCGUUGAAACUGGCGAGCUUGAGUGUAGAUGAGGUAGGCGGAAUGCAUGGUGUAGCGGUGAAAUGCUUAGAUAUCAUGCAGAACUCCGAUUGCGAAGGCAGCUUACUAAGGUACAACUGACACUGAAGCACGAAAGCGUGGGUAUCAAACAGGAUU
rnacentral:rRNA from 1 species